rnacentral:rRNA from 1 species
UACGUAGGGUGCGAGCGUUAAUCGGAAUUACUGGGCGUAAAGCGUGCGCAGGCGGUUCGCCAAGUCAGGUGUGAAAUCCCCGGGCUCAACCUGGGAACUGCAUUUGUGACUGCAUGGCUGGAGUGCGGCAGAGGGGGAUGGAAUUCCGCGUGUAGCAGUGAAAUGCGUAGAUAUGCGGAGGAACACCGAUGGCGAAGGCAAUCCCCUGGGCCUGCACUGACGCUCAUGCACGAAAGCGUGGGGAGCAAACAGG